UCUGGGUUAAGAAACAUGAUAGACUGAUGUAUAAAAGAGUUAUUAAGCCUGUUGUAUCUAAACAAAGG